rnacentral:rRNA from 1 species
CGGAAGCGUUGAUAGUAACUUAGUGGCGGACGGGUGAGUAACACGUGAGCAACCUGCCUUUCAGAGGGGGGAUACCGUUUGGAAACGAACGUUAAUACCGCAUAACGUAACGGGACCGCAUGAUCUUGUUACCAAAGGAGCGAUCCGCUGAAAGAUGGGCUCGCGGCUGAUUAAGAUAGUUGGUGGGGUAACGGCCUACCAAGUCAACGAUCAGUAGCCGGACUGAGAGGUUGAACGGCCACAUUGGGACUGAGGCACGGCCCAGACUCCUACGGGAGGCAGCAGUGGGGAGUAUUGCGCAAUGGGGGCAAACCCCCUGACGCAGCAACGCCGCGUGGUGGGAAGAAGGUCUUCGGAUUGUAAACCAUUGUUUUCGGUGACGAUAAUGACGGUAGCCGAGGAGGAAGCUCCGGCUAACUACGUGCCAGCCGCGGC